AGAAGAAAUAAACCAACCUUCUGAUUUUCUCAAACUCAAUUUAGAUAAAAUUCAUAUCACAACCAUGAACUUAAUCACACGUACGAGAAAGUUUGUAGUGCACAUAAGUAGCUGUUUGCUCUUAGAUCAUGUGAAACGAGCAGUCUGUCUCGACAUGACUGCUUGAGUGAACAUUUCACUUCUUGAUUGGUGAAUACAAGCUUCCAAGAUCUUUUCUUUAGGCCUGAGAUACCAGGAGUAUGAAAAGAUGGCUAGAGCAACAUCACCACUGCUGGAGUAGUUUCCAAGGUUAACCCUCACCAAAAAUUGUAUCAACACCUAGCUAUAUUUCAUCCCAGUUGGGAGUGCAGUUCUUUCUGAUGAGAGCGAGGUUCUAAUGCAAUUCUUACUUUGAAGUGUGGAACUGCGGUUCUGAAGUGAAUUUGCACCCCCCAAUGGGAGGUUGUUGCAACUAUAUAAUUCCCAAAUAUGUGACUAGUACAUUUGUGAAUCUUGACUAAAUUGCAAUUUUGGAAAAGUGGUUGUGACCGAAUCAUAAACUAAAUUAAAAAAUGUUUAUAAAUUUUAGUUUCCUUGUAUAUGGUUGUGAAAAUGAAUAAGUAGAUGUGGAGUUUGUUUUCUUCUUAAGUGAGUCUGAUGCUUUAUUCCUUUUCCACCAGUUUGUGUUAUUCAUUUUCCUAGAACUGUGUGUCAAACAGGUGCAAUUAAAUCUCAAAGAAGGACAUGGUAUAAUAUCUCUCAAAGAUCAACUCUCAGGUUGAGACUGGAGGCAAUGCAGGUGUCCUCUUCAAGACGCACCCUAACAUCAACAAAGAGCUGUUUUCCAAUGGAUUGUAUUUUUUUCAUAAAAGAACUUUUUCCAAGUUUUUAGUUGUAAUAACUCACAUAUGACUCCAAUUUUGAAACUCAAAUGGAAUGCCUGAUUAAACUACAAUGCUAUACUCGUUUAAAUUCUUGUCA